rnacentral:rRNA from 1 species
UACGUAGGCAGCAAGCGUUGUUCGGAGUUACUGGGCGUAGAGGGUGUGUAGGCGGUUGUUUAAGUUUGGUGUGAAAUCUCCCGGCUCAACUGGGAGGGUGCGCCGAAUACUGAAUGACUAGAGUGCGGGAGAGGAAAGUGGAAUUCCUGGUGUAGCGGUGAAAUGCGUAGAUAUCAGGAGGAACACCGGUGGUGUAGGCGGCUUUCUGGACCGUAACUGACGCUGAGACACGAAAGCGUGGGUAGCAAACAGG